GGGGGAAUUUUGGACAAUGGGGGCAACCCUGAUCCAGCAAUGCCGCGUGAGUGAAGAAGGGCCUUCGGGGUUGUAAAGCUCUUUUGUCAGGGAAGAAACGGUAGUAGCGAAUAACUAUUACUAAUGACGGUACCUGAAGAAUAAGCACCGGCUAACUACGUGCCAGCAGCCGCGGUAAUACGUAGGGUGCAAGCGUUAAUCGGAAUUACUGGGCGUAAAGCGUGCGCAGGCGGUUGUGUAAGUCAGAUGUGAAAUCCCCGGGCUCAACCUGGGAAUUGCAUUUGAGACUGCACGGCUAGAGUGUGUCAGAGGGGGGUAGAAUUCCACGGUGUAGCAGUGAAAUGCGUAGAUAUGUGGAGGAAUACCGAUGGCGAAGGCAGCCCCCUGGGAUAACACUGACGCUCAUGCACGAAAGCGUGGGGAGCAAACA
rnacentral:rRNA from 1 species